rnacentral:rRNA from 1 species
GAUGAACGCUGGCGGCGUGCCUAAUACAUGCAAGUCGAGCGGACGGACGAGAAGCUCGCGUCUCUGAUGUUAGCGACGGGCGGGUGAGUAACACGUGGAUAACCUUCCACUUAGACUGGGAUAACUUCGGGAAACCGUAGCUACUACUGGAUAAUAUUUUGAACCGCAUGGUUCAAAAGUGAUUGACGGUCUUGCUGUCACUUAUAGCUGGUUCCGCGCUGGAUUAGCUAGUUGGUAGGGUCACGGCUUACCAAGGCAACGAUGCAUAGCCGACCUGAGAGGAUGAUCGGCCACACUGGAACUGAGACACGGUCCAGACUCCUACGGGAGGCAGCAGUAGGGAAUCUUGGGCAAUGGGCGAAAGCCUGACGCAGCAACACCGCGUGAGUGAUGAAGGCCUUCGGAUCGUAAAGCUCUGUUGUUGGGGAAGAACAUCUGUAGCUGUAGAUGUGGAUGUCUUGACGGUACCUAAACAAAAAGCCACGGCUAACUUCGUG